rnacentral:rRNA from 1 species
CCUACGGGUGGCUGCAGUAGGGAAUAUUGCUCAAUGGGGGAAACCCUGAAGCAGCAACGCCGCGUGGAGGAUGAAGGUUCUCGGAUUGUAAACUCCUUUUGUUAGAGAAGAUAAUGACGGUAUCUGACGAAUAAGCACCGGCUAACUCCGUGCCAGCAGCCGCGGUAACACGGAGGGUGCAAGCGUUACUCGGAUUCACUGGGCGUAAAGAGCGCGUAGGCGGGAUAGCAAGUCAGAUGUGAAAUCUUAGGGCUUAACCAUAGAAUUGCAGUUGAAACCGUUAGGCUAGAGUAUGGUCGAGGUAGGUGGAAUUCUUGGUGUAGGGGUAAAAUCCGUAGAGAUCAAGAGGAAUACUCAUUGCGAAGGCGACCUGCUAGAACAUAACUGACGCUGAUGCGCGAAAGCGUGGGGAGCAAACAGGAUUAGAUACCCCUGUAGUC